GAUUGGCAUAGUGGUUAGAGCGUUAGCCUCAGAUGCGAAAGGUCGUGGGUUCGAACCCCGGCCAAGUUAUACA